rnacentral:rRNA from 1 species
GUGGUGUUUGGGAGGGUUCAUAUACCUGAUACUGCUGCACCGCGUCCAAGUCCAUCUUGAAUGAGGCCACGGUCCCGAGAGGGUGCCAGGCCCGUAGCUGGCCGGUGCUGGUGUUGGGUGAACCUCUCCUUAGAGUCAGGUUGCUUGAGAGUGCAGCCCUAAGCGGGUGGUAAACUCCAUCUAAGGCUAAAUACAACCACGAGACCGAUAGCGAACAAGUACCGUGAGGGAAAGUUGAAAAGAACUUUGAAGAGAGAGUUCAAGAGUACGUGAAACCGCUCAGGGGUAAACGGAAAAGACCCGAAAUUUCCGAAAGGGGAGAUUCACGUCUUCUCGCUGGCUCGACUCCUUGUCCAUUGUCGACGGUUCUAUGCCUCAUUCGAACUCGUUCGGAGCGAGUGGUGGAGCCGCACUGGUCGAGGAUGUAGGGUCGCGGCAGACCGCACUUCUCCCCUAGUAGGACGUCGUGACCCGUCCGAUCAUGGUCUAAGAGUGUGUUUGGGAGCCUGUUUGUGUUGUUUCGGCAAUUCACGAGCAGACCUUCGCAUUUCUGGCCAUGAAUGCUUCGGUCGGUAUCAAAAGACAGUGUUGGAUCGCUCUGCGGAGGGAGAAAUCCUUCUUCGAGAGCGCGAUUGGUCCUUGGCAAGGUAGUGAGUCGCGUCAGUCAAGACGGGCCUACGUCCGUCUGACUGCUCUCGCUCCUGUUGGUCGAGGUACUCUAUCUAGAUGAGAACCCCUGGCUUUUCUUAAACUAUGAAGCCAAGGGGUUUCGGAUCAGAGUGCCAAGUGGGCCAAUUUUGGUAAGCAGAACUGGCGCUGUGGGAUGAACCAAACGCGGAGUUAAGGCGCCUCAAUCGACGCUCAUGUGAGACCAUGAAAGGCGUUGGUUGCUUAAGACAGCAGGACGGUGGCCAUGGAAGUCGGAAUCCGCUAAGGAGUGUGUAACAACUCACCUGCCGAAGCAACUAGCCCUGAAAAUGGAUGGCGCUGUAGCGUCGUGCCUAUACUCCGCCGUCAACGGCAACGCAGGCAGUCCUCUCACGGGGACGGCGCUGUUAAGCCUUGACGAGUAAGAGGGCCGCGGCGAUGUGCGCAGAAGGGUUUUGGGCGUGAGCCUGCCUGGAGCCGUCGUCGGUGCAGAUCUUGGUGGUAGUAGCAAAUACUCCAGCGAGGCCCUGGAGGACUGAUGUGGAGAAGGGUUUCAUGUGAACAGCUGUUGCACAUGAGUCAGUCGAUCCUAAGCCCUAGGAGAAAUCCGAAGCGAUGGGUUGCCGUUAAACGUUAACAAGCUUGAUGUUGGCACCAUUUGGGCGAAAGGGAAUCUGGUUCCUAUUCCAGAACCUGGCAGUGGAACCGUUCCAAAUCGGGCCCUCAUUGAGGACUCGUCAGGGCAACCUGAAAGGACCCGGAGACGCCGUCGGGAGAUUCAGGGAGAGUUGUCUCUUCUCUAUAAGCGAUCGAGUUCCCUGGAAACCUCUAGCAGGGAGAUAGGGUUUGGAUCGCGAAGAGCACCGCAGUUACGGCGGUGUCUGAAUCUUCCCCACGGACCUUGAAAAUCCGGGGAGAGGGCCACGAGGAACCCCACGCCAGAUCGUACCCAUAUCCGCAGCAGGUCUCCAAGGUGAAAAGCCU